AGUGGCGGACGGGUGAGUAACGCGUGAGAAUCUGGCUUCAGGUUCGGGACAACAGUUGGAAACGGCUGCUAAUACCGGAUGUGCCUUAUGGUGAAAGAUUUAUCACCUGAAGAUGAGCUCGCGUCUGAUUAGCUAGUAGGUGUGGUAAGAGCGCACCUAGGCGACGAUCAGUAGCUGGUCUGAGAGGAUGAUCAGCCACACUGGGACUGAGACACGGCCCAGACUCCUACGGGAGGCAGCAGUGGGGAAUUUUCCGCAAUGGGCGAAAGCCUGACGGAGCAAUACCGCGUGAGGGAGGAAGGCUCUUGGGUUGUAAACCUCUUUUCUCAGGGAAGAAUGAUGACGGUACCUGAGGAAUAAGCAUCGGCUAACUCCGUGCCAGCAGCCGCGGUAAUACGGAGGAUGCAAGCGUUAUCCGGAAUGAUUGGGCGUAAAGCGUCCGCAGGUGGCAAUGUAAGUCUGCUGUCAAAGCGUCUGGCUCAACCUGAUAAAGGCAGUGGAAACUACAUAGCUAGAGUAAGGUAGGGGUAGAGGGAAUUCCUGGUGUAGCGGUGAAAUGCGUAGAGAUCAGGAAGAACACCGGUGGCGAAAGCGCUCUGCUGGACCUUAACUGACACUGAGGGACGAAAGCUAGGGGAGCGAAUGGGAUUAGAUACCCCAGUAGUCCUAGCCGUAAACGAUGGAUACUAGGCGUUGCCCGUAUCGACCCGGGCAGUGUCGUAGCUAACGCGUUAAGUAUCCCGCCUGGGGAGUACGUAGGCAACUGUGAAACUCAAAGGAAUUGACGGGGGCCCGCACAAGCGGUGGAGUAUGUGGUUUAAUUCGAUGCUACGCGAAGAACCUUACCAGG
rnacentral:rRNA from 1 species